rnacentral:tRNA from 1 species
GCCGGGGUGGCGAAAUCGGCAGACGCAGCGGACUUAAAAUCCGCGGGGACUCAACAUCCCGUGUGGGUUCGAUCCCCACCCCCGGCA